rnacentral:rRNA from 1 species
UGGGGAAUAUUGCACAAUGGGGGAAACCCUGAUGCAGCGACGCCGCGUGAGCGAAGAAGGCUUUCGAGUCGUAAAGCUCUGUCCUAUGAGAAGAUAAUGACGGUAUCAUAGGAGGAAGCCCUGGCUAAAUACGUGCCAGCAGCCGCGGUAAUACGUAUGGGGCGAGCGUUGUCCGGAAUUAUUGGGUUUAAAGGGAGCGUAGGCCGUUUGGUAAGCGUGUUGUGAAAUGUAGGAGCUCAACUUCUAGAUUGCAGCGCGAACUGUCAGACUUGAGUGCGCACAACGUAGGCGGAAUUCAUGGUGUAGCGGUGAAAUGCUUAGAUAUCAUGAAGAACUCCGAUUGCGAAGGCAGCUUACGGGAGCGCAACUGACGCUGAAGCUCGAAGGUGCGGGUAUCGAACAGG